CCAAGUCUUCCACAGUGCAUCUUUGGAGUGAUAUUUUUAGAUAAAAACCAUAACAAAAUGUAUCACUGUAGCCCUUAUAUGAGAGUAUUGUUGCCUAAGAAUGUCAUUUUUCUAUUACCUUGUGAUCCAGCAGAAAUAGCUGAAAAGUUUGAACAGAAGGCCCCAUCGUAUUUUCUCUUCUCAGAUCUUACAGAGAUGCACCGAAGUGAAGGAAUGUAUUUCUUCUCUUGAAUUUUAGGUACAAGGAUUGCUGAAAAAGACUACAACAAAGAUUUGCAUUGCAAGAAAGCACAUCAUAAAAUGAUAUGGGACUAAUCCAUCUCAACAGAAGGGCAGACUAUGUUUUCCAUCACCGGCACAUACUGAACCAAACCUUCAGGGAGUAAAAAGGAGACUGGACUGCUGUUUUCUGUUACUCUGCAAAUCAAAAAAAGAUUGGUAGUUCUGAUUAAUCUUUUACUUCUUUUAGUUGCCUCCACAACA